rnacentral:misc_RNA from 1 species
GUGAAUCAUCGAAUCUUUGAACGCAAAUUGCACUUUCUGGUAUGCCGGUGAGUAUGCCUGUUUGAGGGUCAGUUAAAUUCGAAUCGGUGUUGUUUCUUCCUUUCGUGGUGACUCGGCGGUAUUGGGUCGUCUUAGCUUCUGUUAAGUUACUUAAAAUUUUUGCUUGAUUUUCGAACGUUUUUCAAUCGCUUUUUU